GGCGGAGCCAGCCGCAGCAGAACUUCCGCUGGGCUCGGCUCCGCCCCCUCGGGGGCUCCCCGAACGACUGUGGGCUCCACCCCUAUUCUUUGACGGCCCCCACGCGCGAGGGCGCGCCCUCCGCCCCCCACCCCCCGCCCCGCAGCGCACCCCAUCCCAAGCUCUUGGUGUACCCGACGUCUGCCCGCCUCUGCUCCCGCAGCGAGCCCCACCUCUCCGCCUCCGUCACUCCUUGCGUACCUCACCGCGUGCCCCACCCCAAACCCCCAGAGUCCCCAGAGGUCGGCUGUCGGCUGGGGGCACAUACCCCACCCCCCCCACUGGGCUGGAGCCAAGGUGGGAAACCUGGGUGCCGGGAGAGGGGACAGGCAGGGCACUGUAGCUGCUCCAGCCAGUAGCAUGUGGGGGGGGGGGAAUGGCAGGAGGAGCUGAGGGACCCAGGUCACCCACUAGCCUGAGGCCUGCCCAGCACUGUCUGGCUGGUGGUGGGAAGGUGAGCCCAGCAGAGCCUGACGCUUUCUCCAUCUGCUUGGGGGCCCAGGGAGCCCGGGAGGUGCAGACAAGCAGGCCGAGGGGCUGGACAUGGACAGCCAGAAGCAUUUGGCUAAUGCCUCGCUGGGGAAGAAGUCGGGGCUGCCGCUGCCCCAAGAGCUCGGGCAGCCCCCUCCCCUUGUGAGUGCGACCACGGCUUGGGGCCAGCCCGGCGCCCAGAGUGGAGGGCAACAGGUACUGCAGACUCAGGACUGGGUGUGCCAGCCGGCCGAGAGCGGGCGCCGGAGCCACCGCUGGAGCGUCAGCAUCGACGAGCGCCGGCGACUGGCCGUGCAGGGCGGCCGGGAGAGGCCGGGGACCGCCGGGCCCCCCUCCCACUCCAGGGACCUCUCGCGGCUCGUGGCCCAGCUGGUGUCCGAGGACGUGGACAAGGACGUGCUCCUCCCCCACGCUCCGAGGCCCUCCGAGGCCGCCAACGCCUUCCAAGCCUUCCUGGCCCCGAGCGCGCCCUUCUGGCAGACCGUGACUUUGGAGGCGCAGGCGGGUGUCUCUUCCAGCUCCAGUAGCGACAACGCGUCCCUCCCAGGACUCACGGGGAACCCCCCAGGUGGUGGGCCAUCAAGGAACACCUCUGAGUUAGGGAAGACCUUUGGAGACAUCCCUGGGCUGAGGGCAUUGGGGUGCUCUGGCGGCAGGGGGGGGGACAGUGUCCCACACGCAGGCUUGCCCGUGCUGACCGCAUGGUGUCCUAGCACCUGUCUGUGCUCACGAGGCAGGCCAGCUUGGGACAGAGAGCAGAGGCUGCUGUGGACGUGCCAGGUGGGAAGGGGGGGAACUUGCAGCGCCCCAGAACUGCUGUGUGCCUGGGACGUGUUGUUCUUGUCCUCCCAGGGCCAGCAUUGCCCCUGCUGAGAAAAAGGACUUCGUUGGCUUUGCAAGAGCACGUGUGUUCACUGUUGAACAACCUGAGGAUAAAGUUUUAAAAUCUCACCCACAAUUUCAUCAAGAUAAGGCCAUCGAUGUCAGGUUUACAGAGGUUUCCCUGAGGCCCUUAGACCCACACCAGAGCUGGCCGGGGACCCUUCCUUCCUGUCUUGGGUGACACCGUCUUUCCCUCAGGGCUGGGUCUUCCCGCUCUGAGUGUCACUGCAGAAGUGAGGGUCAACCUGGCUUUCUGUCCGAGUCUGCUGUGUCUGCGAUCUGUGCUUCCCGAUAAACAGUUCUACUGACCCCUGACGGCCGGGUUCAGGCGCGGUAGGCCUCAGUGCGGAUCCUGCUGAGCACGGCCUGCAGGACCCUUGUCACUCUGGGACACCGAUCUCUGCGCCCCCUCCGAGCCCUCUGCCACUGGAGCCUCUGCAUCUUCUCAGCCCCCACCGGGUGCCACCGCCAGGGGUUCCCCGAAGAAAGGUCACUCUGAGCCCUCCAGUGGCGAAGCCCGCGCCCCGUGGGCCCUGAGGGGUGCCGCACCUGCGCAGGGCUGAGGGUCCCUCCUUCCCAACGUCCUGAUCUCUCUCAACAAUUGUCCCCCCCACCCUCUUCAGGACACGUGACCUCAUCGUGUAUUAUCAUCCCUGCCUUCCUCCCCACUGGGCUGUGUGCUCCCCGAGGGCAGAGAUCGUGUGUCCUUACCCCCUGCCCCCCCCCCCCCCGCCCAUCUAAACUGUGGCACCAAGCAGACGUUCCACAAGUAACGGUCGAACAAAUAAAUUCUUGUUUCUGUUGCUUUGUCUUGCCCGCAGAUGGUCUCCAGCCUUUGCCCCAUCGGUAAUCUGACGUCGUGCCCCGUGCUGCUUCAGACUUAUUCCAGAAUGCUGUGAUUGUGAGGAAGCGAGUUUCCUCGGCUGUUAAUCUUGCUUCCAGUCUGCUGUUUUGUCAUCCACUACUUGGGCUUCUGAUUAGCGAUCGCACGUUCCUCUCAUGUUCGUUCGUGACUGGUGGCACUCCUGGGGAGUCGUCUUCUGCUUCAGGAGCAUUCUCUACGGGGUUUGCGCUGGCCCCUCGCCUCCUCCCUCCCUCUUCCAGUUUGUCUGUUGUUGGAUGUGUGGAUUUAGCCGCACAGAACAUCCCUGUGAACGUCUGUUUGCACUGCUAACUAAUGGAUGAAAUCGUAGAAUUUCUGCA